UGGCUGCAGUUAGCAGAAGUAGCUGCUGUGGAAAAACCUAGCUCUCUCACCUCUCCAGAGAAAGCCUGUGGGUGUGGAUCCACCAGCCAUUACCCAUGUCCAGCAGAGAAGCAAUGACAGAAGCCAAAACUCCCACUUUCUGCACCUUCUUCUACCUUCAUACUCCAGAGCGGGAGAAGUGGUAGGAGGAAGAGAGUAAGAGGGCUCUGAACUCCAGCUCCAUCAGGACCCACAGGGCAGGGUUGUGGCAUUUGGAUAUAGCAAUAGAGUAAUAGGGGCAUGAGUGGCUUGGAAGGGAAGAGAGGACUGGACCUGGAAGAAAAAGGGGGCAGUUUUGUACAAAUGUAAACAGAUAGUUGUAGAGUUGGCGGUUAACCCGUGUCUGCAACUUUGGGAGAACUACUGUGGCUUAAAAUGGAGGAAUUGGGGAUUCAGAACUCUGGUGGUGGAAACAGCAUGGAAUUAUACCCCAGUUGACACGUAAUUUUUCUAAUCAAUAUUAAAUCACUAGUAAAGUUAAAAAAAAAAAAAAAAGAAAAGAAAAACCGGGUUCCCCUGGUCAGGGUUUUCAACUGCAGUUCAGGGCCCUCCCAGCUCCCUGCCUGUGAGACUCACCAGCAGCUCCAGCUUAGCUUAAGCCCUGGGAAGCAGCUUUGUGAGUGGGAACCCACCAACAUUCCUGUGGUCAGCCUGGCUGCUGACGGGAACUGCUGGGACACCACCCAAAACAGCAAUAAAAUCUCCCUCUAGCCCAGAGAAAUGACAGCUUGUGCUCAGCUAAGGGAAUUCGUUAUGCUGAUUUGCUUCCCAAAUGUACUUGGCAAUUGGGGGGGGGGGACCAUCUGUUGCUAAGCUUCCAUUAUCCAGGGGGGAAAGAUGGUUUCUUCAUCUCUCUGACAGGAGUACAGCAGCAGCAUAGAGCUGGACUGUCCCUUGUGAACCUCUGGGGAGAUCAGGAGACAGCAAGAGUGAGCGCCCUCCAUACUUACAUCUCAGAGAGAAGUCACCUUGGUUCUAGAUCCAGCAGGUGUUUGGAAGUGUCAGCAGUUAUAUUUACUGUGGACACAGAAUGUUACCCACCGUCCCCAACUUCUGUGGAGUUGUAAUCUUGUUUCUACCUCUUCUGGACCUGCAGAAGGUGCUGCAUCUGCUGGCAUUGGUGAAGACAGAAGAAAAUAUACCUGGACAAAGGAGGAGAGAUUUUCCUGCAUAGAGGGCUUCCAGCUUGGUUUCCUGUUGUGACCCCCCCCAAGAGGAAUGAGGGACAAUCAGCUUAUGAAUGACAUCAGCCUGAGGCGGAGCACACUCACCAGGGUAUGUGGGUGCAGGGACUAUAAAAGCAAGGACUGGCAGCAGCUCACUCUUGAGUGAUCACCUUCAGCAUGGCGCUCUCCUGCCAGUGUCGCUCCGGGCUGAUCCCGAUCUCCUCACGUGGCGGUCUCAGGUAACUUAGCUGUGGACUUUGGACUUUUGUCUAUUUUCUUAGCUAGACUGCUCCCUUCACAUUCACAGUUGUUGUUGUUGUUGUUGUUGUUUUUAAAUGAAUAAAUCUCUCUUUGUUUAACCUUC